rnacentral:rRNA from 1 species
GAGUUUGAUCCUGGCUCAGGAUGAACGCUGGCGGCGUGCCUAACACAUGCAAGUCGAACGGAGUCGUUUUGGAAAUCUCUUCGGAGAUGGAAUUCUCGACUUAGUGGCGGACGGGUGAGUAACGCGUGAGCAAUCUGCCUUUAAGAGGGGGAUAACAGUCGGAAACGGCUGCUAAUACCGCAUAAAGCAUCAAAUUCGCAUGUUUUUGAUGCCAAAGGAGCAAUCCGCUUUUAGAUGAGCUCGCGUCUGAUUAGCUGGUUGGCGGGGUAACGGCCCACCAAGGCGACGAUCAGUAGCCGGACUGAGAGGUUGAACGGCCACAUUGGGACUGAGACACGGCCCAGACUCCUACGGGAGGCAGCAGUGGGGAAUAUUGCGCAAUGGGGGGAACCCUGACGCAGCAACGCCGCGUGAUUGAAGAAGGCCUUCGGGUUGUAAAGAUCUUUAAUCAGGGACGAAACAAAUGACGGUACCUGAAGAAUAAGCUCCGGCUAACUACGUGCCAGCCGCCGCGGUAAUAC